UGGCUCAGAGGUUAAAGUGUCUGCCUGGAAUGCAGGAGACCAGGGUUCGAUCCCUG
rfam:Ovis aries breed Texel chromosome 6, whole genome shotgun sequence.